rnacentral:lncRNA from 1 species
AAUGUGGACUGGACGAAGGAGCCUCGUUGGAAUAAACUCAUAUAGGAAUGAUGAUACCGUGUUUACCUACUAAUGGGAAUGACCCUAUUGAAGAGGGAACAUCACGUAUGUUGGGGAGCGGAAAAGUCAAAGUCCUCGAAAAGGAAGCACUUUGGAAACCAAUGGCUGAAAAGUUUGCUUUCUGUGAGAAGUGUAAAUCAAAGUCAUGUUUCUGUUUCCAGCAGUACAGGAAAGAGAGUUAAACCUGAUGGACACAAGCAGGUAAAAUCUGCCCAAAAUGACUCUGGGGCUUGUUGAAAAAUUAACGCCUAUGAGAUCUGUCUCAUUCGAGGGCAAGGCAUGGCGGAUCACCUUUCCACAUCAGUGCCUGGGUCUGACCUGUACCAUCUUUAUACGCUCAGCAGAUUAACUGGAGCCAUCUGAAGGAACCCUAUAACCAGGAGGCCGCUGUCCUCAGGGUUGAGCACCAUCUAUGGUCAUAUCAGGGAAACUGUAUAUUUCCCAGCCAGGAAUAAACAUUCCUGCUUUCAAGUCUCCCA